rnacentral:lncRNA from 1 species
GAGAGAGAAUUCAUGAGGUACAAUUCGAAUUGAUCAGGUGACACAAUCCAACAUUACGAUUGAUCCAAUAUCUCGAUUGGUGAAAUCAAUGUGAUCAAAUCAAGUCAUGGCUAGAUCGAAAUCAUGGAUGAUCAAAUCUAAAGAUUCAUGGUCUGAUCAAGAUGGACGCCAGUACGCUAUCUGACAACCAUGGAUCAGGGUUCUUCAUUAAAAUCAGAUCAGAAUUAUUAAAAAAAAUUUCUUUAUUUACUAACCUUUUUAGAGAGAGAAGCAAUCAAGAGAGAGAAUAUUUUAGAGAGAGAAAAUUCUAGAGAGAGAAAACUCAUCUUGAAUUCUUCAGACAAUAUGAUUCAACAAAUUCGAUCAAUCGGAUCAAAUCAUGCUGAAAUUAUCAUGUGGACAAUUCAAUAAAAUCAUGAGAAAUAAAAUCUAAAAAUACUUGAUCUGAUCCAAGUGGAUGUCGGUAUACCGUCCGACGAUCACGGAUCAAAAAUCCAUCACGAAGAUCAUUUAAAUUCAUCAUCAUUCUUCUCAAAAUUCU